GAGUUUGAUCCUGGCUCAGGAUGAACGCUAGCGGCAGGCUUAACACAUGCAAGUCGAGGGGUAACAGAGGUAGCUUGCUAUUUGCUGACGACCGGCGCACGGGUGCGUAACGCGUAUAGAAUCUACCUUGUACUAGGGGAUAGCCUUUGGAAACGAAGAUUAAUACCCUAUAGUAAGUAUUUAUGGCAUCAUUUAUACUUUAAAGGUUACGGUACAAGAUGACUAUGCGUCCUAUUAGUUUGUUGGUGAGGUAACGGCUCACCAAGACUUCGAUAGGUAGGGGCCCUGAGAGGGGGAUCCCCCACACUGGUACUGAGACACGGACCAGACUCCUACGGGAGGCAGCAGUGAGGAAUAUUGGACAAUGGAGGCAACUCUGAUCCAGCCAUGCCGCGUGCAGGAUGACGGCCCUAUGGGUUGUAAACUGCUUUUAUGUAGGAAGAAACACUCUCACGUGUGAGAGCUUGACGGUACUACAAGAAUAAGGACCGGCUAACUCCGUGCCAGCAGCCGCGGUAAUA
rnacentral:rRNA from 1 species